CUUUUAUUUCUUCUCCUCUUUCUUUUCCUCUUUCUUCUCUUCUUUCUUCUCUUCCUUUUUCUCUUCUUUUUUCUCUUCCUUCUUCUCUUCUUUCUUUUCUUCUUUCUUCUCUUCUUUUGCAGGACCAACAGAUACAAUAUCAACUUUUCCUACUUUUUUCAGCUUCUUCACAAUUUUUACUGUAUCCAUUGAACCAAUCACUGUCAACUUUUGCUCCUUUACAUCUGCUACAAUUGAAUCAACCCCUAUUCAUCAAAAUCCACAACAAUUCAAUAGAUCAGCCUUUGAUUUAUUAAAUAACAUUUUUUUUUUCUAUAAAUAUAAAUUAUUUGUAUUAAAUUUUUUUGUUAAAUAAAUUUCUUACCAUAAAUAUCUGCAGCUGCUUCUAUAGCUUUUUGCUUGGUUUUGUCAUCUGUCAUAGUUAACACCUUUAACACAACCUUCU
rnacentral:lncRNA from 1 species